AAUGGCUCACCAAGGCGACGAUCCGUAACUGGUCUGAGAGGAUGAUCANUCACACUGGAACUGAGACACGGUCCAGACUCCUACGGGAGGCAGCAGUGGGGAAUAUUGGACAAUGGGCGAAAGCCUGAUCCAGCCAUGCCGCGUGUGUGAAGAAGGUCUUCGGAUUGUAAAGCACUUUAAGUUGGGAGGAAGGGCAGUUACCUAAUACGUGAUUGUUUUGACGUUACCGACAGAAUAAGCACCGGCUAACUCUGUGCCAGCAGCCGCGGUAAUACAGAGGGUGCAAGCGUUAAUCGGAAUUACUGGGCGUAAAGCGCGCGUAGGUGGUUUGUUAAGUUGGAUGUGAAAUCCCCGGGCUCAACCUGGGAACUGCAUUCAAAACUGACUGACUAGAGUAUGGUAGAGGGUGGUGGAAUUUCCUGUGUAGCGGUGAAAUGCGUANAUAUAGGAAGGAACACCAGUGGCGAAGGCGACCACCUGGACUGAUACUGACACUGAGGUGCGAAAGCGUGGGGAGCAAACAGGAUUANAUNCCUGGUA
rnacentral:rRNA from 1 species